AUGUACUAAAGGUACUAUAGAAGGCACUGAGACAACUUUGAGAAAGGAAUGCCUUCUGACUGAGCAUGGAAUGGGGAAGAAGAGGUCUGAAUUGGGGCUGGGCAUGCUGUUUGUUUAAUGAAGAAAACUCUUUCAGGAAAAAUUAAAAAGAAAUACCAAAAUACCUGCACCUACAGGAAAUAAGCCGAGCAGAAAUCUUCCCAACCUCCCACUUGAUCUUCCAUAUUUAGAGUGCAUCAAAAGAAGAGAAAGAGAUUUGG